rnacentral:rRNA from 1 species
UCCGUAGGAGACGAACGUUAUCCGGAGUUACUGGGCGUACAGGGCGUGUAGGCGGUUUGUUAAGUCUGGCGUGAAAGCUCUCGGCUAAACCGGGAGAGGUCGUUGGAUACUGGCGAACUAGAGGAUGGUAGAGGCGUGUGGAAUUCCGGGUGUAGUGGUGAAAUGCGUAGAGAUCCGGAGGAACACCAGUGGCGAAGGCGACACGCUGGGCCAUACCUGACGCUAAAGCGCGACAGCAUGGGGAGCAAACGGG